UGAGAACCGGAGAUCCGAGGAGAUUGAUUGGAUGGGGGAAAAGCAUUUGGUCCACUUCUUUGAUCUCCUCACGCUGCAAUAAUCUAGUUAACCUGCCACCUCCAUUGUAAUAGACAACCACAUGCAUGUAAGCAGCUGUUGGAUGUCUGAAAAUAUAGAAAUUAUUUAAUGAAUUUCAGUUACGUAGCGACGUCGUGGUUAGCGAGUCCUCAUCUUCAGACUUGUUUUUUGAAUUUUAAUGGAUUGCCUCCAGUAUUCAGCUAUUGAAGGUAGUACCUGUUGUUGAUGGAGUGCAGGUGUAUUCAAUGGUUGAAGCACACAAGCUAGACUUAUCCGUUGCACCUGUCUCAUCUAGUAGAACAGCCAUAUCGAGGAAACGUAGAAUCUCAUGAUCUCGUUCUUCUCGCACUUUUCAAUAUGUCCAAGAGUUGAGAGAUUACGUAAGAAAACUAAAUCCAAGGGCUUACACGAUCCAAGGUAUAUGUGUGGUGUAAAUGCAGUUAAUACAGCUAUUGACCAGCUAGCUUUGAACAAAAGAAUCAUGUGAUUACUUAUGGUAGACCAACACAAAAAAAAGUUUAAGACAAUGUGCUGUCGUCACCUUCUCAUUUUCUAGUAUUUUUUUUGGUAAAAGGAUUUUCUAGUAUU